GUCGAGAAUCUUUCACAAUGGGGGCAACCCUGAUGGAGCGACGCCGCGUGGAGGAUAAGGUCUUCGGAUUGUAAACUCCUGUCAUGCGUGAACAAGGUUGCUUGGUUAAUACCUGGGCAAAUUGAUGGUAACGCAAGAGGAAGAGACGGCUAACUCUGUGCCAGCAGCCGCGGUAAUACAGAGGUCUCAAGCGUUGUUCGGAAUCACUGGGCGUAAAGGGUGCGUAGGUGGCGUGGUAAGUCAGAUGUGAAAGCCCGGGGCUCAACCUCGGAACUGCAACCGAUACUGCCAUGCUAGAGUACUGGAGAGGUGACUAGAAUUCUCGGUGUAGCAGUGAAAUGCGUAGAUAUCGAGAGGAAUACCAAAGGCGUAGGCAGGUCACUGGACAGUUACUGACACUGAGGCACGAAGGCCAGGGGAGCGAACGGGAUUAGAAACCCCGGUAGUCC
rnacentral:rRNA from 1 species